rnacentral:rRNA from 1 species
ACGCUGAAAGAGGAGCUUGCUUCUCUGGAUGAGUUGCGAACGGGUGAGUAACGCGUAGGUAACCUGCCUGGUAGCGGGGGAUAACUAUUGGAAACGAUAGCCAAUACCGCAUAACAGUAGAUGUUGCAUGACAUUUGCUUAAAAGGUGCAAUUGCACCACUACCAGAUGGACCUGCGUUGUAUUAGCUAGUUGGUGGGGUAACGGCUCACCAAGGCGACGAUACAUAGCCGACCUGAGAGGGUGAUCGGCCACACUGGGACUGAGACACGGCCCAGACUCCUACGGGAGGCAGCAGUAGGGAAUCUUCGGCAAUGGACGGAAGUCUGACCGAGCAACGCCGCGUGAGUGAAGAAGGUUUUCGGAUCGUAAAGCUCUGUUGUAAGAGAAGAACGAGUGUGAGAGUGGAAAGUUCACACUGUGACGGUAUCUUACCAGAAAGGGACGGCUAACUGCGUGCCAGCAGCCGCGGUAAUACGUAGGUCCCGAGCGUUGUCCGGAUUUAUUGGGCGUAAAGCGAGCGCAGGCGGUUAGAUAAGUCUGAAGUUAAAGGCUGUGGCUUAACCAUAGUACGCUUUGGAAACUGUUUAACUUGAGUGCAAGAGGGGAGAGUGGAAUUCCAUGUGUAGCGGUGAAAUGCGUAGAUAUAUGGAGGAACACCGGUGGCGAAAGCGGCUCUCUGGCUUGUAAC